rnacentral:rRNA from 1 species
UACAGGGGGGGGCAAGCGUUGUUCGGAAUUACUGGGCGUAAAGGGCCAGUAGGCGGCCAACUAAGUCCGACGUGAAAUCCCCAGCUUAACCUGGGAACUGCGUCGGAUACUGGAUGGCUUGAAUUCGGGAGAGGGAUGCAGAAUUCCAGGUGUAGCGGUGAAAUGCGUAGAUAUCUGGAGGAAUACCGGUGGCGAAGGCGGCAUCCUGGACCGACAUUGACGCUGAACGGCGAAAGCUAGGGGAGCAAACGGG